GACGAACGCUGGCGGCGUGCUUAACACAUGCAAGUCGAGCGGUAAGGCCUUUCGGGGUACACGAGCGGCGAACGGGUGAGUAACACGUGGGUGAUCUGCCCUGCACUUCGGGAUAAGCCUGGGAAACUGGGUCUAAUACCGGAUAUGCCCUCCUAUCGCAUGGUGGGUGGUGGAAAGAUUUAUCGGUGCAGGAUGGGCCCGCGGCCUAUCAGCUUGUUGGUGGAGUAAUGGCCUACCAAGGCGACGACGGGUAGCCGACCUGAGAGGGUGACCGGCCACAAUGGGACUGAGACACGGCCCAGACUCCUACGGGAGGCAGCAGUGGGGAAUAUUGCACAAUGGGCGAAAGCCUGAUGCAGCGACGCCGCGUGAGGGAUGACGGCCUUCGGGUUGUAAACCUCUUUCAGCAGGGACGAAGCGCAAGUGACGGUACCUGCAGAAGAAGCACCGGCUAACUACGUG
rnacentral:rRNA from 1 species